CACGUAGGGCGCGAGCGUUGUCCGGAUUUAUUGGGCGUAAAGAGCGUGUAGGCGGCCAAGCAGGUCCGCUGUGAAAACUCGAGGCUCAACCUCGAGACGUCGGUGGAAACCGUUUGGCUAGAGUCCGGAAGAGGAGAGUGGAAUUCCCGGUGUAGCGGUGAAAUGCGCAGAUAUCGGGAAGAACACCCGUGGCGAAGGCGGCUCUCUGGGACGGUACUGACGCUGAGACGCGAAAGCGUGGGGAGCGAACAGG
rnacentral:rRNA from 1 species